rnacentral:rRNA from 1 species
UACGGAGGGUGCAAGCGUUGUCCGGAAUUAUUGGGCGUAAAGAGCUCGUAGGCGGUUUGUCGCGUCUGCUGUGAAAACGCGAGGCUCAACCUCGCGCCUGCAGUGGGUACGGGCAGACUAGAGUGCGGUAGGGGAGAUUGGAAUUCCUGGUGUAGCGGUGGAAUGCGCAGAGUAUCAGGAGGAACACCGAUGGCGAAGGCAGAGUCUCUGGGCCGUAACUG